UACGGAGGGUGCAAGCGUUAUCCGGAUUCACUGGGUUUAAAGGGUGCGUAGGCGGGCAGGUACGUCCGUGGUGAAAUCUCUGAGCUUAACUCAGAAACUGCCAUGGAUACUAUUUGUCUUGAAUGUUGUGGAGGUAAGCGGAAUAUGUCAUGUAGCGGUGAAAUGCUUAGAUAUGACAUAGAACACCAAUUGCGAAGGCAGCUUACUACACAAAUAUUGACGCUGAGGCACGAAAGCGUGGGGAUCAAACAGG
rnacentral:rRNA from 1 species